GUCAGUGUCUUUCCUUAGAAUAUGCCACUUGGUCCAAACUAUAAAUUAUUGCAACAUUCACGGCACUAAGGUCAGGCAGGAAGGGCAUCAUCUAAAAUUAGGAAUUCCACUGUAUGUGAAUGUAAGGCUCACUCUGAUUCAAGUGUUUGCAGCAGCAGAGGAGGAUAAAGAAGUCCGUUGAGUUCCUUCAGCCGUCAGACCCCAGCGGGCGGGCCGAGGUCCAGUCCCGGAAAGGGUCUAAGUCUCCCAGAUGAAGCCUGCCGUGCGCACGGUCUUUACUGGAUUCCACCAACCCGCUGGAAUCCUCAGGCGUAUUGGAAUCUGGCUCGAAGGACCAAAAAUAUCGAGAACCAGGGGGACUGGCCUGGAUGGUCAAACUGCACCAGGAGAGAGAAAUGGCUCCAAGGAAAGUCAGGGCUGAUAUGCUGCUCAAACACCAGCAUGCAAUAGCUGUCGCACACACUGGUUCAACUUGAUAGAAAGUGAAAGAAACAAAGUAAUGCUUCUUAUAGUAGCAGCAUGUAUUUUAUUUCUUUCUGUUUCUCAAGGCCCUCAUCUUGCUCAGUUUGAAACAACAUAGACCAUUAUGGUUUUUAGUAAGUCUUUGUAAUGCUAUAAAUAUUAUUAUUAUUAUUAGGGGGAUUUAUGAGUUAUUACCCUUCUUUGCAAAGGUAUUCACACUCCGUAAGUCUUCUCACAUAUUGUCACAUUACAGCUACAAACUUCAAAGUACUUCAAUCAGUAAAAUAAUGUUUUAUUGUGCAACAAGUAAUCAGGAACAUGAACGAGUGAAUCUCCAACUGUAUGGAAGGAAGGGGAAGAGAACUGGUGAGACAAGGAACUAAAAUGAGGCAGAACUAAUGAUAAAUAACUAAGUUGAAUAAGUGAACGGCUUUACUAAGUAGAUGCAAUCAGGUCGCCAGGGGUUGAGGGAUUCGGGAUUCGGGAUCUCGGUUUAGAGUUCGUUCUGAUGUUUCCUCUGGUGCUGUUUGAGGGAGUCUGGAAAAGCCAUGUAGUUAUCCAAGAUGCAGAUGGUUAUGUUGGAGGAUGGACAGGGUACGCUUAAUAUCUUGAUCCAAGAAACGGAGGAAUCAGGAAGGCUGCCAGCCAGAGCGAAAUCCAGUUGAAGUCAGUAGUUCAGAAAACGAAGUCCUCAAAAACGUAGGAAGUCUUAACCCACAGAACUUCUGAGACUGAAAUCUGUGUUCAUCGAGAUAAAUCUAAGAAUCAGGGAUCAGCCUGCGAAGGACCAUAAACAAAGUUACUUAGAGCACAAAACCGAAGCUUAGACUAGAAGUGGCUGAGUUAGUUACCACUGUAGGCAAAUACUCUCGCGUCAAAGUGCUGGCAGCCUCCUGCUUAAAUACUCCUCAUGCAAUCAGCAGAAUAAGAGAGACAGGGGUCUGUGCAGACUAAAAGUGGGCGUUUCUCAACCGAAGUGGGGGUUUCUCAACCAGUAGGCGUUCCGUGAUCACAAACAGUGAUUGGUUGGCUUUAUGUCCUCUGUUUUUCACGGAGGUAUAUGUACAGAGCUAACCUGUAUGAAGUUGUACGGAGAAGCGCAGAAAGAAGGUAAAGCAAUUAUCAGUCAUUAAGUUAAUUUUCGAAAUUAUAUUUUUAAUGUUGUCAGUUUGUAUUAUGAAGCCUACAUGUACAAAUUUGUAGGUAAAAAAGUACAGGUCAAAAGUACAGGUUUAAAAUGUAAGUGACAAAGGUGAUCUAUCAUACUUAGGUUUCAAAUGUGAUUGUAGCAAGACUGAAAUAGUGAGGUCGAAGAGUGAAAAAAAUUAAAUAAAAAGACUAGUUAUGCUAGUUUCAAAGUUAUUUAUGCUUAAAUAAUUAACACAUUGGAGAGACAUGGACCAUAAACGUCUAAUGUAUUGUGUUGAGGUAUAUUACUAGCAUGUCACCAUAGCAAAAAUACACCUAUGUGUUGAACGUUUUGUAGCAUAACGUAGCUUAGCUACAUGAAUUUGGCUGAUCUGUUGCGUUUUGCGGAUGGAUUAAUACUGAAUAUAUAUAUUUCUUGUAUUAACUAAACAUAGUUUUGUAAAUUUAGUUAUAUAUUUUGGAUAUGUGUGUAGUGUUGAUUUUGAUUUUAAUUUUAAUUGAUUUUAACUUCAGAGGUUUUGUAGACAUAAUAAAACAAUAAAUGAGUCAUUGGCCUUAGCUGCACCUUAAAAAGCUAAACUUUUUUACAUGGAUCCACAAAUUACUUCAUUUAUAGUUACAUUUUAAACAUCAGGCGUUAAUUGAAAUCUUCUGUCACAAAGGACUUUUGCACUGCAUGUUGAAUACAUUGGGAAAGGGAAAUGCCUUGUCCUUAUGCAAGUGCUACUUAAAUGUUGUGUUUGGUGAUUUUAAUAAUUUCUUUUUACAACUGAAGGUGUCGUUGACGGGAAGAAAUUCUCUAAAGAAUUUCAGGCUGAGAACCAGAAGCCGUACCUCACAUCAAACUGCUUAAGUUGUGGAAGCACAUUGAAAGGUUAUGGUGCAGGUUACUGGGGCAAUGGGAAACGAGGACAGCUGAGAGGCUUUUAUUCGGAACCCUGUACUCCGGGGUACUGCAGCCACUUCUGCGCCAUGGAUGCAGGAUGCUAUGAAGACUUUUAAGAUAUGUGGGACAAAAUGUCUUCAAAAGUUCAAUACUUAAGAAGUACACCACCGCCAAGUGAUGCCUGCACAUUUUUUUGAUGUAAAAUAAAGAACAUCUUUAACCUCA